rnacentral:rRNA from 1 species
GAUGAACGCUGGCGGCGUGCCUAAUACAUGCAAGUCGAGCGAAUGGAUUAAGAGCUUGCUCUUAUGAAGUUAGCGGCGGACGGGUGAGUAACACGUGGGUAGCCUGCCCAUAAGACUGGGAUAACUCCGGGAAACCGGGGCUAAUACCGGAUAACAUUCUGAACCGCAUGGUUCGAAAUUGAAAGGCGGCUUCGGCUGUCACUUAUGGAUGGACCCGCGUCGCAUUAGCUAGUUGGUGAGGUAACGGCUCACCAAGGCAAAGAUGCGUAGCCGACCUGAGAGGGUGAUCGGCCACACAGGGACUGAGACACGGCCCAGACUCCUACGGGAGGCAGCAGUAGGGAAUCUUCCGCAAUGGACGAAAGUCUGACGGAGCAACGCCGCGUGAGUGAUGAAGGCUUUCGGGUCGUAAAACUCUGUUGUUAGGGAAGAACAAGUGCUAGUUGAAUAAGCUGGCACCUUGACGGUACCUAACCAGAAAGCCACGGCUAACUACGUGCCAGCCGCCGCCGUAA